UACGUAGGGUGCGAGCGUUGUCCGGAAUUAUUGGGCGUAAAGGGCUCGUAGGCGGUCUGUCACGUCGGGAGUGAAAACACGGGGCUUAACCCCGUGCCUGCUUCCGAUACGGGCAGACUAGAGGUAUGCAGGGGAGAACGGAAUUCCUGGUGUAGCGGUGAAAUGCGCAGAUAUCAGGAGGAACACCGGUGGCGAAGGCGGUUCUCUGGGCAUUACCUGACGCUGAGGAGCGAAAGUGUGGGGAGCGAACAGG
rnacentral:rRNA from 1 species